rnacentral:rRNA from 1 species
UACGAAGGGGGCUAGCGUUGUUCGGAAUUACUGGGCGUAAAGCGCGCGCAGGCGGUCCUUUAAGUCAGGGGUGAAAGCCCAGAGCUCAACUCUGGAACUGCCUUUGAAACUAGAGGACUUGGGUACGGGAGAGGUGAGUGGAAUUCCGAGUGUAGAGGUGAAAUGCGUAGAGAUCGGGAGGAACACCUGCGGCGAAAGCGGCUCACUGGACCAUAACUGACGCUGAUGCACGAAAGCUAGGGGAGCAAACAGG